GAUUUCUGACGAACCGGAGUGGCCCGUUUCCUUUCAGGGAAUGAGUGCCGCUUUGAGUUUGUCAUCCUUCCAGAGAGCUGCGUCUACCGUUUAUUCGGCCGGACGCAUGCGAUCUGGAUCUAUUACUUUGAAAAAAUUAGAGUGUUUAAAGCAGGCUUACGCUGUGAAUACAUUAGCAUGGAAUAAUAAUCUAGGACUUUGGUUCUAUUUUGUUGGUUUCUAGGACUGAAGUAAUGAUUGAUAGGGACAGUUGGGGGUGCUAGUAUUCAGCGGCCAGAGGUGAAAUUCUCGGAUUCGCUGAAGACUAACUUAUGCGAAAGCAUU
rnacentral:rRNA from 1 species